UAGCGGCGAGCGAACAGAAAAGAGCCUAAUCCAUUAGUGGAACAUUUAAGAAGUUGAAUCAUCUGGGAAGAUGAACCAAAGAAAGUGACAGUCUUGUAAACGAACCUUAAAUAAACCUAGGAGGAAAGUAGCACCGGACACGAGGAAUCCGUUGUGAAGAUAGGGGGACCAUCCCCUAAGGCUAAAUACUAACAUGUGACCGAUAGCGAACAAGUACCGUGAGGGAAAGG
rnacentral:rRNA from 1 species